AUUGAACGCUGGCGGCAUGCUUUACACAUGCAAGUCGAACGGCAGCGCGGGGGCAACCCUGGCGGCGAGUGGCGAACGGGUGAGUAAUGCAUCGGAACGUAUCCUGUAAUGGGGGAUAACGUAGCGAAAGUUACGCUAAUACCGCAUACGCUCGAGAGAGGAAAGUGGGGGAUCGCAAGACCUCACGUUAUAGGAGCGGCCGAUGUCCGAUUAGCUAGUUGGUGGGGUAAAGGCCUACCAAGGCGACGAUCGGUAGCUGGUCUGAGAGGAUGAUCAGCCACACUGGGACUGAGACACGGCCCAGACUCCUACGGGAGGCAGCAGUGGGGAAUUUUGGACAAUGGGCGAAAGCCUGAUCCAGCCAUGCCGCGUGCGGGAAGAAGGGCCCUUCGGGUUGGUAAACCGACUUAGUCGGAAAACGGGUAGGCGAGGAGUAAU
rnacentral:rRNA from 1 species